AUAUAGUGUCAGCGGCCAAGCGAGAGCGUUAAGCAACCCACCUGGGGAGUACGCCGGCAACGGUGAAACUCAAAGGAAUUGACGGGGGCCCGCACAAGCGGAGGAACAUGUGGUUUAAAUUCAAUGAUACGCGAGGAACCUUACCCGGGCUUGAACUGCAAGCGAACGAUACAGAGAUGUUGAGGCCCUUCGGGGCGCUGGUGGAGGUGCUGCAUGGUUGUCGUCAGCUCGUGCCGUGAGGUGUCGGCUUAAGUGCCAUAACGAGCGCAACCCCUGUCCGUAGUUGCCAUCAGGUAGUGCUGGGCACUCUGCGGAUACUGCCCCGUAAGGUGUGAGGAAGGUGGGGAUGACGUCAAAUCAGCACGGCCCUUACGUCCGGGGCUACACACGUGUUACAAUGGGGAGUACAGAGAAUCGGUCGUCAGCAAUUGCGAUCCAAUCCUUAAAGCUCUCCUCAGUUCGGAUUGGGGUCUGAACCCGACCCCAUGAAGCUGGAUCGCUAGUA
rnacentral:rRNA from 1 species